rnacentral:rRNA from 1 species
CAGCCGCCACGGUAAUACGUAGGGUGCGAGCGUUAAUCGGAAUUACUGGGCGUAAAGCGUGCGCAGGCGGUUGUGUAAGACAGGUGUGAAAUCCCCGGGCUUAACCUGGGAACUGCGCUUGUGACUGCACAGCUAGAGUAUGGCAGAGGGGGGUGGAAUUCCACGUGUAGCAGUGAAAUGCGUAGAGAUGUGGAGGAACACCGAUGGCGAAGGCAGCCCCCUGGGCCAAUACUGACGCUCAUGCACGAAAGCGUGGGGAGCAAACAGGAUUAGAUACCCCCGUAGUCCCUGUCUCUUAUAC